UACGGAGGGUGCGAGCGUUGUCCGGAAUCAUUGGGCGUAAAGGGCGCGUAGGUGGCCCGGUCAGUUCGUGGUGAAAGCGCGGGGCUUAACCCUGCGUCGGCCAUGAAUACUGCCGCGGCUGGAGCACUGUAGAGGCAGGCGGAAUUCCGGGUGUAGCGGUGGAAUGCGUAGAGAUCGGGAAGAACAUCAGUGGCGAAGGCGCUCUACUGGACCACAACUGACACUCAGGGACGAAAGCUAGGGGAGCGAAUGGG
rnacentral:rRNA from 1 species